rnacentral:lncRNA from 1 species
GAGGCGUCAGUGUGAAGGGAAGGCUAAGGACGCAUCGGUGCUGGAGAGUUGAGAAUAUGCCUUCCCCUCCACCCCCAACCCAGUCACCUUAUUUGAAAAAAAAUUAAAAAACACCUUUUAUUUAAAAACCUAACCCUGGAAGUUUGCUCGGAAAAUGGAAAUCAACAUUUGAAACUUUUAAAUGGAAGCUUUAUUGGGGUUCCACAUAUGGAAAACUGCAAAUAGCAGAAGUAUGUGACUCAAUAAAUUAUUCUGGAGUGACCACAUCCUCUAACUGCCUCCCAGGACAAGACGGAGAAUGUGAACAAUGCUCCUGAAGGCCCCUUUCCCUCAAAGGUAACCACUGGCCUGACUUCUGACACCAUACAUUUGUUUUGCUUUUUUGAACUUCAUGUAAAUGGAAUCAUAUGAAUCACUGCAAUUGAAGGAAAAAUGCUCCAUGUCCCCUCUGCCAGUUGGUGUUUAUCAAAGGACAACGGAGGAAGAGAGACAAAGUGCCUGGAUGUGUGUGUUAAUCAAGAGUUGUCAGGACCCUGCCUCUAAAAGAAAGCGCUAAAAUGAUGCUUUUGACAAGACUUUUCUCAAAGUGGAUGCAGUCUAAGGGUUGGAAAACAAGGCCCAAUCAGGCUAGGUCUGACUUGUCGCCUGCUUUUGUAAAUAAAGUUUUAUUGGCUCACAGACACACUUA